rnacentral:rRNA from 1 species
GAUGAACGCUGGCGGCGUGCCUAAUACAUGCAAGUCGAGCGAACGGACGAGAAGCUUGCUUCUCUGAUGUUAGCGGCGGACGGGUGAGUAACACGUGGAUAACCUACCUAUAAGACUGGGAUAACUUCGGGAAACCGGAGCUAAUACCGGAUAAUAUUUUGAACCGCAUGGUUCAAAAGUGAAAGACGGUCUUGCUGUCACUUAUAGAUGGAUCCGCGCUGCAUUAGCUAGUUGGUAAGGUAACGGCUUACCAAGGCAACGAUGCAUAGCCGACCUGAGAGGGUGAUCGGCCACACUGGAACUGAGACACGGUCCAGACUCCUACGGGAGGCAGCAGUAGGGAAUCUUCCGCAAUGGGCGAAAGCCUGACGGAGCAACGCCGCGUGAGUGAUGAAGGUCUUCGGAUCGUAAAACUCUGUUAUUAGGGAAGACCAUAUGUGUAAGUAACUGUGCACAUCUUGACGGUACCUAAUCAAAAAGCCACGGCUAACUACGUG